AGUCGAAUCCACCUGACAUAAACUCGCCGCCAUAAACAGCAGCAGCAGCUCCAACUAUUGCACCAGCUCCCAAUCCAGCCGCGGAAAUCCCUGGUCCAGGUCUUGCAUAUCCUCUUCCCGCUCCUCCAUAUGAUGAUGAUGAUGCAAUAUUCACAGCUUUCUCUGAUCUCGGAAUGUAUGCAGGCAUGUAGCCCGCGUUCAAAGGUGGUGGUGGUGGCUGCAUUGGUGGUGGCUGCAUUGGUGGAGGAUUGUAAGGUUGUUGCAUUGGUGGAGGAUUGUAAGGUUGUUGCAUUUGUGGGUUGGUGUUGUUCAUUGGAGGAUAUGGCGGAACUGAGAAUGGGUUUGAAUUGUUUGGCUGGUUCGGUGGAGCAAAUGGAUGCUGUGA
rnacentral:lncRNA from 1 species